AAAACGGCCCUUUUCAGGGCCACCAAAAACUAAAAAUUGCGUUUUC
rfam:Acyrthosiphon pisum strain LSR1 Contig25987, whole genome shotgun sequence.